rnacentral:rRNA from 1 species
AUAGCCUAACGGCUGAACCAGCAAUUUGGGAGAAUGAGGUUGGUAACAUGACAAGUGGGGCCAGAGAAUAGUUACGCAAGGAUCUGUUUUCUGGCGGGGAAUCGGCUUAGUCGAAUAAAGUUCUAGAUAGAAUAAUGAUUAUGACAAUUUUCUAUCUAAAUGUCUUGACCAAGUCACGUGCCAGCAGUCGCGGUAAUACGUGGAAGACUAGUGUUAUUCAUCUUUAAUAGGUUUAAAGGGUACCUAGACGGUAUUUCUAGCCCCCAAAGGGUACGGAUUUACUAGAGUUUUAUGUGAGAGGCAAAUAUUAGUACUAUUGGUGUAGAGAUGAAAUUCUUUGAUACUACUAGGACUGGUGGCGGCGAAAGCAACCCUCUAAGUAUAAACUGACGUUGAGGGACGAAGGCUUGGGUAGCGAAUAGGAUUAGAUACCCUAGUAGUCCAGGCAGAAAAUUAUGAGUGCCAUAGACUAGAUUAAAUAAUUUUGGUCUAUAAAUGAAAGUGUAAGCAUUCCACCUCAAGAGUAAUGUGGCAACGCAGGAACUGAAAUCAUUAGACCGUUUCUGAAACCAGUAGUGAAGUAUGUUAUUUAAUUCGAUAACCCUCGAAAAACCUUACCACAAUUUGAAUGUAAUAUAUGUAGUAGUCUAAUAAUUGUCUAGUUAACAACUACAUGUAUUAACACAAGCGUUGCACGGCUGUCUUCAGUUAAUGUCGUGAGAACUUGGUUAGAUCCAUUAAAUUAACGUAAUCCCUUUCGUUAGUUCUCUGAACUAAUGAAGUUCACCGCUAUAU